GAUAUAUGUUCUUUUAGCACAUUCUAAAAAUAUAUUUUUGUAAUUCAAUAAUAUAAUACUAUGAAAAAAUUUACAAAUAUUUUUUAUAUCACGUGAUUAUCUGAACAAAUGACACCGAAAGUCUUCCUGUUUCCUCACUUAAAAUGAACACAUUGUAAAUAUACUUAACAAACCAAUGUUUCACCAAUCGCAUUCUCUUCUACCGGGUGUUUCACAACGGACUAUAUACGAAAGAAGUAUGUAAUGAGACGCGAACCGUUAACCGAACGAAGGAAAACGAGCUAUUCGCUGGCCACUAUUGCGACACAAUAGCCAUCCAAGCAAUUACGAUAUACAUGGCCUAUGUAAACCGUUCGAAAGCGGUUCGAUUUUAAUUGACUGAAAGAAAUAAACGAACAUCAUGUCGGAA